GAUCAUGGUUCAGGAUGAACGCUAGCUACAGGCUUAACACAUGCAAGUCGAGGGGCAGCAUUUUAGUUUGCUUGCAAACUGAAGAUGGCGACCGGCGCACGGGUGAGUAACACGUAUCCAACCUGCCGAUAACUCCGGAAUAGCCUUUCGAAAGAAAGAUUAAUACCGGAUGGCAUACGAAUAUCGCAUGAUAUUUUUAUUAAAGAAUUUCGGUUAUCGAUGGGGAUGCGUUCCAUUAGUUUG
rnacentral:rRNA from 1 species